rnacentral:rRNA from 1 species
CUCAACCCGGGAAUGGCCUGUGAAACCACGGGGCUAGAGUGCUGGAGAGGAAAGCGGAAUUCCCAGUGUAGCGGUGAAAUGCGUAGAUAUUGGGAGGAACACCAGCAGCGAAGGCGGCUUUCUGGACAGACACUGACGCUGAGGUGCGAAAGCCAGGGGAGCGAACGGGAUUAGAUACCCCGGUAGUCCUGGCUGUAAACGAUGAACACUUGGUGUGGGAGGUAGAAGAGACCUUCCGUGCCGGCGAAAACUCAUUAAGUGUUCCGCCUGGGGAGUACGGCCGCAAGGCUGAAACUCAAAGGAAUUGACGGGGGCCCGCACAAGCGGUGGAGCAUGUGGUUUAAUUCGACGCAACGCGAAGAACCUUACCGGGGUUUGAACUGUACUUGACGACCGGCAGAGAUGUCGGGUUCCUUUCGGGGACAG